UCUCUACGGGAGGCAGCAGUGAGGAAUAUUGCACAAUGGGGGAAACCCUGAUGCAGCAACGCCGCGUGGAGGAUGACGCAUUUCGGUGUGUAAACUCCUUUUAUGAGUCAAGAAAAUGACGGUAGCUCAUGAAUAAGCACCGGCUACUCCGUGCACCGACGC
rnacentral:rRNA from 1 species